UGCACAAACAACUGCAAAUCACUCUGGCUAAGAGUGUCUGCUAAAUGACUGAAA
rfam:Salmo salar isolate Sally breed double haploid chromosome ssa23, whole genome shotgun sequence.